rnacentral:rRNA from 1 species
AAGCAGCCAUCCUUGAAAGAGUGCGUAAUAGCUCACUGGUCGAGUGGUUCUGCGCCGACAAUGUAGUGGGGCUCAAGUACACCGCCGAAGCCGCGGCAACUUUUUUAAGUUGGGUAGGGGAGCGUCGUGCAUGGGGUGAAGCGUUACCGUAAGGAGGCGUGGACUGUGUGCGAGUGAGAAUGCAGGCAUGAGUAACGAAUUGAUAGGUGAGAAUCCUAUCCGCCGGAUGACUAAGGGUUCCUGGGUCAAGUUCGUCUUCCCAGGGUGAGUCGGGACCUAAGGCGAGGCCGACAGGCGUAGUCGAUGGAUAACCAGUUGAUAUUCUGGUACCCGUACAUGCGCGCCCAUGAUAAAGCACUGAUACUAACCACCGCGGAUGCAUUGCUGGUCUUCUUUGAAGUCUGGUGGUGUUGAUGUCGUGGGGCCUGAUGUGUGGUUCAAGUGAUGGGGUGACGCAGUGAGGUAGCCACGCCACUUAUUGGAUUGGUGGUGUAAGCGUGCAGACCGUGUGGUAGGUAAAUCCGCCGCACUUUUGGUUGAGGCGUGAUGCGUAGACCCAUUGGGGUUGAUGGUGGUGAUCCUGUACUGUCGAGAAAAGCCUCUAGCGAUGUGUGUGUAUGGCCCGUACCCUAAACCGACACAGGUGGUCAGGUUGAAAAUACUAAGGCGUUCGGGUGAACUGUGGUUAAGGAAUUCGGCAAAAUGCCCCCGUAACUUCGGGAGAAGGGGGGCCCUACGAUGUGAGCACUCUUGCGGUGUUAAGCGUUGUGGGGUCGCAGAGAAUAGAGGGAAGCGACUGUUUAUCAAAAACACAGGUCCAUGCGAAGACGUUAAGUUGAUGUAUAUGGACUGACGCCUGCCCGGUGCUGGAAGGUUAAGAGGACCGGUUAGUCAACGUUGUUGGCGAAGCUGAGAAUUUAAGCCCCAGUAAACGGCGGUGGUAACUAUAACCAUCCUAAGGUAGCGAAAUUCCUUGUCGGGUAAGUUCCGACCUGCACGAA